rnacentral:rRNA from 1 species
UAAGUGAAUAGUGAAAUCUGGCGGCUCAACCGUACAGGCUAUUAUUCAAACUGGCAAACUCGAGAAUGGUAGAGGUAACUGGAAUUUCUUGUGUAGGAGUGAAAUCCGUAGAUAUAAGAAGGAACACCAAUGGCGUAGGCAGGUUACUGGACCAUUUCUGACACUGAGGCACGAAAGCGGUGGGGAGCGGAACGGGAUUAGAUAUUUCGGUAGUCCACGCCGCAAACGAUGGAUACUA